rnacentral:lncRNA from 1 species
GACUGUUCUUGAGGACAAUGUUGGAGAAGAAUAGAAGCUUUUCCUCUCCUCCUGGUGUUUGGAAUCUUUGAUUCUCAGCUGUAGAAGGAAAAUAUCAAGCGGGAUAUAAGGAAUACAAAUGGUUUUUCCUCCAAGUCUUGACUGAGGCUGAGUCUA